rfam:Methanobrevibacter curvatus strain DSM 11111 MBCTR_contig000072, whole genome shotgun sequence.
GGGCCGGUGGCUCAGCCAGGUAGAGCGCACGGCUGAUAACCGUGAGGUCCUGGGUUCGAACCCCAGCCGGCCCA